rnacentral:rRNA from 1 species
UAACACGUGGGAACGUGCCUUUAGGUUCGGAAUAGCUCCUGGAAACGGGUGGUAAUGCCGAAUGUGCCCUUCGGGGGAAAGAUUUAUCGCCUUUAGAGCGGCCCGCGUCUGAUUAGCUAGUUGGUGAGGUAACGGCUCACCAAGGCGACGAUCAGUAGCUGGUCUGAGAGGAUGACCAGCCACACUGGGACUGAGACACGGCCCAGACUCCUACGGGAGGCAGCAGUGGGGAAUCUUGCGCAAUGGGCGAAAGCCUGACGCAGCCAUGCCGCGUGAAUGAUGAAGGUCUUAGGAUUGUAAAAUUCUUUCACCGGGGACGAUAAUGACGGUACCCGGAGAAGAAGCCCCGGCUAACUUCGUGCCAGCAGCCGCGGUAAUACGAAGGGGGCUAGCGUUGCUCGGAAUUACUGGGCGUAAAGGGCGCGUAGGCGGAUCGUUAAGUCAGAGGUGAAAUCCCAGGGCUCAACCCUGGAACUGCCUUUGAUACUGGCGAUCUUGAGU